AGAAGGAGCUAUGGGACACGGAGUCUGUCCCUCCCACUGCAGGGUGACACAGACAGAAGGGAGCUAUGGGACACGGAGUAUGUCCCUCCCGUUGCAGUGUGACACAGACAGAAGGAGCUAUGGGACACAGAGUCUGUCCCUCCCGUUGCAGUGUGACACAGACAGAAGGAGCUAUGGGACACGGAGUCUGUCCCUCCCACUGCAGGGUGACACAGACAGAAGGAGCUAUGGGACACGGAGUCUGUCCCUCCUACUGCAGGGUGACACAGACA